UCUUUUUUCCUAUCUUUCAUCUAUUUUGUUUUCCCUUCACUAUUUAACUGUCAUUUACUUAUUUUGUUUUACUCUUAACUUUUAACUAUUCUCGUUUACUUAUUUUGUUUUACUCUUAACUUUUAACUAUUCUCGUUUACUUAUUUUGUUUUACUCUUAACUUUUAACUAUUCUCGUUUACUUAUUUUGUUUUACUCUUACCUUUUAACUAUUUCCCUUGAUUUUCUUCCCUCUAGCUUAUCCCACUCCCCCCCUCCUCCCCGCGUACUGCCUGUCUUUCUUCUUUGCUGUUCCUUACUUGCAUUGUUCUAUGUUUCCUAGCUUCCUUUGCUGCAU
rnacentral:lncRNA from 1 species